GCGGCAGGCCUAACACAUGCAAGUCGAGCGGUAGCACAGAGAGCUUGCUCUCGGGUGACGAGCGGCGGACGGGUGAGUAAUGUCUGGGAAACUGCCUGAUGGAGGGGGAUAACUACUGGAAACGUAGCUAAUACCGCAUAACGUCGCAAGACCAAAGUGGGGGACCUUCGGGCCUCAUGCCAUCAGAUGUGCCCAGAUGGGAUUAGCUAGUAGGUGGGGUAACGGCUCACCUAGGCGACGAUCCCUAGCUGGUCUGAGAGGAUGACCAGCCACACUGGAACUGAGACACGGUCCAGACUCCUACGGGAGGCAGCAGUGGGGAAUAUUGCACCAAUGGGCGCAAGCCUGAUGCAGCCAUGCCGCGUGUGUGAAGAAGGCCUUCGGGUGUAAAGCACUUUCAGCGGGGAGGAAGGCGAUAAGGUUAAUAACCUUGUCGAUUGACGUUACCCGCAGAAAGAAGCACCGGCUAACUCCGUGCCCAGCAGCCCGCGGUAAUACGGAAGGGUGCAAAGCGUAAUCCGGAAUAACUGGGCGUAAAGCGCACGCAGGCGUCUGUCAAGUCGGAUGUG
rnacentral:rRNA from 1 species